rnacentral:rRNA from 2 species
UGCGAUAAGUAAUGCGAAUUGCAGAAUUCAGCGAGCCAUCGAAUCUUUGAACGCACAUUGCGCCCGCCAGCAUUCUGGCGGGCAUGCCUGUCCGAGCGUCAUUUCCUCCCUCACGCAGCGCGCCUGCGUGGUGUUGGGGCGUUCUGCGGCCAGGCCUGCGCCCA